GACGAACGCUGGCGGCGUGCUUAACACAUGCAAGUCGAGCGGUAAGGCCCUUUCGGGGGUACACGAGCGGCGAACGGGUGAGUAACACGUGGGUGACCUGCCCUCAGCUCUGGGAUAAGCCUGGGAAACCGGGUCUAAUACUGGAUAUGACUCCAUGACGCAUGUUGUGGGGUGGAAAGCCUUGUGCGGCUGAGGAUGGGCCCCGCGGCCUAUCAGCUUGUUGGUGGGGUGANGGGCCUACCAAGGGCGACGACGGGUAGCCGGCCUGAGAGGGCGACCGGCCACACUGGGACUGAGACACGGCCCAGACUCCUAGGGGAGGCAGCAGUGGGGAAUCCUGCGCAAUGGGCGAAAGCCUGACGCAGCGACGCCG
rnacentral:rRNA from 1 species